UACGUAGGCAGCAAGCGUUGUUCGGAAUUACUGGGCGUAAAGAGUGUGUAGGCGGUGCUCCAAGUCUGGUGUGAAAUCUCCCGGCUUAACUGGGAGGGUGCAUUAGAAACUGGAAUGCUAGAGGAUGGGAGAGGUAAGCGGAAUUCCUGGUGUAGCGGUGAAAUGCGUAGAUAUCAGGAGGAACACCGGUGGUGUAAACGGCUUUCUGGACCAUAACUGACACUGAGGCACGAAAGCGUGGGUAGCAAACAGG
rnacentral:rRNA from 1 species